CGACCUGCAGACUGCGCCGCACCUGAAACUCCUGCACCCGGGACCGCCUGGUUCUUCUGAGGCAGAGCGAGAUGAGCAGCCCCCCGACGUACGCGGGGGUCCGGAUAUCAGGCUGCUGGGCCCUGGGGGCUGAAGGCAGCCACAGCAGCGCAGAAUCCCUGGACAGACUCUACCCCCCGGUAGCGCCCACGCGGCCGCCCCGGAAACGGACCACCAGCCAGUGCAAGUCCGAGCCCCCGCUGCUACGAACCAGCAAAAGGACCAUCUACACGGCCGGACGGCCGCCGUGGUACAACGAGCACGGGGCGCAGUCCAAAGAGGCCUUUGUCAUAGGUCUGGGCGGGGGCAGCGCCUCCGGAAAGACCACGGUGGCCAGGAUGAUCAUCGAAGCCCUGGACGUCCCGUGGGUGGUGCUGCUCUCCAUGGACUCCUUUUACAAGGUGCUCACCAAGCAGCAGCAGGAGCAGGCGGCCCACAACGACUUCAACUUCGACCACCCCGAUGCCUUUGACUUUGACUUGAUCAUUGCCACCCUAAAGAAGCUCAAGCAGGGCAAGAGCGUGAAGAUCCCCAUCUACGACUUCACCACCCACAGCCGGAAGAAGGAAUGGAAAACCCUCUAUGGUGCCAACGUGAUUAUCUUUGAAGGCAUCAUGGCAUUCGCGGACAAGGAGCUGCUGAAGCUCCUGGACCUGAAGAUCUUCGUCGACACGGACUCGGACAUCCGCCUGGUACGGCGCCUGCGCAGGGACAUCAGCGAGCGCGGCCGGGACAUCGAGGGCGUCAUCAAGCAGUACAACAAGUUCGUCAAGCCAGCCUUCGACCAGUACAUCCAGCCCACCCUGCGGCUGGCUGACAUCGUCGUGCCCAGAGGUAGUGGGAACACGGUGGCCAUCGACCUGAUCGUGCAGCACGUCCACAGCCAGCUGGAGGAGAGGAAGCUGCGCUGGGAUAUGGCAGCGCUGGCUUCGGCCCACCAGUGCCACCCGCUCCCGCGGACCCUCAGUGUGCUGAAGAGCACCCCGCAAGUGAGGGGCAUGCACACCAUCAUCAGGAACAAGGAGACCAGCCGAGACGAGUUCAUCUUCUACUCCAAGCGACUGAUGAGGCUGCUGAUCGAGCACGCCCUGUCCUUCCUGCCUUUCCAGAGCUGCACCGUCCAGACCCCGCAGGGACAGGACUACGAAGGACGGACCUUCAGCGGGAAGCAGAUCACGGGCGUGUCGAUCCUGAGAGCGGGGGAGACGAUGGAGCCGGCCCUGCGCGCCGUGUGCAAAGAUGUCCGCAUCGGGACCAUCCUCAUCCAGACCAACUGCUACACUGGGGAGCCAGAGCUCCACUACCUGCGGCUGCCGAAGGACAUCAGCGAAGACCACGUGAUCCUCAUGGACUGCACAGUCUCCACCGGGGCAGCUGCCAUGAUGGCAGUGAGGGUCCUGCUGGAUCAUGACGUCCCAGAGGAUAAGAUCUUCCUCCUGUCCCUGCUGAUGGCUGAGAUGGGCGUCCACUCAGUGGCCUACGCCUUCCCCCAGGUGAAGAUCAUCACCACGGCGGUGGACAAGAAGGUGAACGACCUUUUCCGCAUCAUCCCAGGCAUCGGGAAUUUCGGAGAUCGCUACUUCGGGACCGACGCACCCCCCGACUGGAGCGACGAUGAAGACACCCUUAGCACUUAGCACCCCGGCCCUCCGCCCCCAGGCAGCAGCCCGGGGACGGCAACAGGGUUGAGGCAGCUUGCACCUUAACCUCCCGCUGGACAUUUGCAGAGAGAUUAUUCCCCCAACCCACAGCAUAGCUUAUUUUUUGAACUCGUGCACUUCAGAGCUAGGGCCUAUUUUUGAACGGAAUCCGAGUCCCGGCUGACAGCACGUGCAGCCGGACCUUAGAGCGGAGUUACUUUAUUUUAAUAUAAAUGGUUGGCUACUUUAACUUAUUCCAGAUUUUCUAAAGAAAAAAAAAAAAGAAAGAAGUGUUUUCCUCUGGUUUUCUUGGAUGGCACGGCUCUAGCUCGGGGGUCUGCGGUGCAGAGUGGGAGUGUGUUUUGCCUCAAGUACAUCAGUCUGUCUUCCCCAGCCUGAGAGACGAUUUCCCCUCCGGCUGAGCGGUCGUGCCGGGAGCCGCCUGUUCCCAUCUGCGCAGACCGGAGAGCAGGACCCAGCUCUGAGCAUGGAGAGCGGAUGUGCUGGCACUUUGCUCCCUGGGCACGGCCAAGCUCCCAGCAGCAGGCACGGGCACUACAGGUGCAUUAGGCUUCACCGUACUGAGAUCAGCCCACCCCGAGGCAUGGUGUUUCCCAACCCCAGCAGCAACAGGGAGCGUUGGGGCUUCGGGGGCUGUCGGCGCUCCGGCAGCCCUGGCCCAAAAGCAGAAACAACCCUGCUCCCAUCUGCCCCGGCCUGGGCGCUAUGAUUUACGGCUGCUGAGGUUGGGCACAUACCCCCACGGCUAAUUAGAAGACAAGCUGAACUCCAGCAAGCACCUGGGGAAGGCAUGAUCUCGACGCUGCCGCUGGGCCCGGAGCUGGCGCUGACACCGGAUAAGCUCGGCACUAAAAAUAUCUGCUCGUGUAGGUGGCUCUCAAAGUCUUAAGCACAAAGGCAGUUGGAAAGAGAGAGCAUUUCCUUCCAACUGACCAGCAGCACCAGGUAGAUCUGCAAUGGGCAAGGAUGAGCCACCCUGAGCAGGCACCUAAGCUCCUAUCAUGCACAUCCUGGAUCCCGGCAAACAGAGGCAAGAGCAAGCAUCCCCCUGGCCCCAGGUUUCCCUGCUCUGUAUCUGCUCCUCAAGCCACAGGGUGAGGGAAAGCUCCCUCGUGACCUCCCCGGUCCUUCCUAUCACUCACAAGCUGCCCCUGAAAAGCAGAGGCAAGGGCACCUCGCGCAAUCGUCCCUGCCCUGCUGGCUGACCCCGCUUGGAUCUACCCCUCACUUGGAUCUACCCCUCGGAGUGAGGAAAGCUGAGCGGGGUCUGCUUCGGAGGGAGGGAGAUCCCUGCAGGGCACGGAGCCAGGGGGAGAGGGCAGUGCUGGGGGACCUGGCGGCGAACUGGGCCCCUAGCUCCAUGCGACUGCCCACCCUGGAAGAGACUCAGGGAAGGGCUGUGGGGUGAGCAGGACUAGGUCGGCAGUGCGUGCACCCACCCUAGCAAGGUCAUGGGCAGGCAAAGGCUGAAGAGGGGGAGCUGCUGGACAGGGACCUUUGUCACAGCAGCCCAGGGCACAGACGUGAUGCAGACACAGGUGGAUGCACCCCGGUCUCGCCCUGCACACCCCUGCUCCAUUGCCUCACAGCUGAGAUCGGCCACAUGCCGCAGUCCCAGAGGCCUGAGCAAGUGUCCUCACUGCAGCCAUCCUCCUGCAUAGGCCCAAAACAGCCCCUGGGCAUCCUGGAGCCUGAAAGAGGCCAUUGCUGGGGUAGCUGGCAGUGGCCUCACUAGCCAAGACCCCGGUAAUCACAGCCCUGGCCCUGCAGCGAGAUGACUCCCUUGCAUGGCCGGGGUAACUCUGUCGCCCCAUCCUGCUGGGAGCCAGGCUGCCCCUGCACACACAGCCCAUGUGAACCCUGCACACGCAUGGAGCCAGCGAGCGACAGCCUGUCUCCUGCUCCAGGGCUCUGGCGGCCCAGGCGGAGGCAGGACAGUGCCCGUGGGGAACGGGGAAAGCUGCGACAGCACGGCGGGGAGCUUUGUGGGCUGUUCCUGGAACAUCAGCCUGGAAACCAGAGGCUCUGGGUGCAGGGAAUGACAAGAGCAGCUGAUGCACCCGUUGCACAGGGAAGACCAGAGCGUGCAGCCUGGGGAAGCCGGAGGGAGCUGCACCCCAGCACCUAAGCCACUUGGGCUGGCUAAGAACAGCACGCUGCCUGCACGCAGCCCCACGCAGCCCCUGUGCAUUAAAGCAGGGCCGGGCCCCGUCUCUCUCCUGCAUUCAGAGCCCAACAAAGGGAACGCGGCUCCUCUGCAGCUGCGGCUGCAGGGAGGUGCCCAGGGUGCAGGGCUGGGCUCCCAGCCAGAGCCUGGGAGAGCUCGGUGCAGGGGAGUGAGUAAGGCCGCCACCUGCCGGCCCAUGAGAAGACAUCGCCCUGGCCCGGAUAAAGCUGCGACGUGCUAUGCAUGGCCUGCGCCGUGCCCCUUCCAGCCCUGCCCAGGUGCAACCGGUAUUCACCCUGUUUUACAAAGCAGGAAACUGAGGCACCACCAGUUUAGACCCAAGGUCACGCAGCCAAGAGCUGAACCUGAGCUCUGCACGGGGGCAAACGCACAGGGCUUCAAUGGGCGUGAGGCCUCUGAGCUUCCUUAAAAAUCGGAUGCAGCGAAUCCAGCAAGGCAUGGCGUGGUCCCGGGGGCAGAGGAAAGCCCCGCCGAGCAAAGGAAGGCCCCUUUAGGUCAAUACCACUCACAAUACAUGCAUCGGGUCCCUCCCCAGUCCCCCCUGAUUCGUGCCCACCACGGCUGCAGCAGCUCCCAAGGCUCUCCUCUCUGCCCCCAGCCUUGGGAAGGCAUCGGUGUCCCUCGGGAAGGCUUCCAGCUGUGACUGCAUGGUAGAAACACAACCCCGAGCGCAUCGGAGGUUGCACAGGCCCCCUGACCCCUCCAUCCCACCAGACCCCGCUCUCCACACCGUCCGCUUUCAAUCCCUAUGCCCUGAAACAGCUGGGCUCUGCACAGUCCUGCUCCACCGGCUCUGGACCCUGUGGGGCUUAAACCUGUUGAGCCCAGGCUUCAAAACUAGUCUAUGCCACUUCCCAGCCAUGCCAGGGGCUCGGUGCUGAGCUUCCUGACGGGCAGCAGGCAUGACCUCGAGCAUCACGCAUGACCUGCUCGAGCAUCCUGCCCCCCUGGGGCAACCCAGCAUCUCCAAAAGCACAACCCUGCCUGGUGGAAGCACUCUCUGACUCGGGGCCAGGACCCGCAGGGCCAGCAGCGCUCUCGCAGCGCCCUGCUCCACCCUUCCUUUCACGGCACCUCGAGUCUGACUUUCUAUUGUCGACAGCAAAGGGCAGGCGGCGAACGCGCAGCAUCGGAAAAACUGCGUGGGAGGCCUCUGAGUGCACCCACUCCCUUUGCUCUCUUGGCCGGAAGGGAAACACCACCCCGCGCAGUGACCAGAAAGGCUGAGGCGCCAACAGGCAGUAAAGCAGCAACGACAAAACAAAAAACAAAAAAAAAAACCCACCUUUUUCUGAGAUACCGAUCUCACGCAGACCAACAGACCUGUUGUUUCCUUUUAUAGCCCUAGAGCUGCCUCCUGCUAACACGGCUUAACGGCAGGUGAAAAAAGAGAAGACGGUUGGACCAUCCUUUCACCUGGGAAGAGGUCCGUGGGGCUCAGCGGCUGAGGACGCUCCUUUGCCUCCUCCUGCGAGCACAUUUCCUCCGCAGCCCUCCGAGACAGCGGGGAAAUGCCCAGCAGACUCCCCCUGUGCCUGAAAAAGGGGCUUUGUGCCCCAAAGCUUGCAAAGAACAAUUUUUCCAACUAUUGAGUUGGUCUAAUAAAAGAGAUCACAUUGACCCCAAGAACCGCGUCUGCCUACAUCCUGAGACCAGCAUGGCUACAACCAACACCCUCGUCUAAAAGAGGAACGCUAGUCUCUCUUGGGUUCGUGUGGCCCACUGCCCCCUCCACAGAGCCCGGGCCAUCUGCGUGCAACAUUUCAUGCCCUAAUCUCAUCGAUCAAGGAAGUCCCACGCUACUGAUAUAUGCUCCGACACAAUAGUCUCCAGACUGCAAUCUUCGCAGGGCCUAGUCCUCGCUGAAGCAGAAAGCCUUUGAAGAAUAGAGACCACUAUUUACAAAACACCCCCCCUAUUUAUUGUUCCCCUAUCCUCGACACUGGAUCUAUGCAAAGGGGGGUUAUUAAUUAACAUCGCAGUGGCCCAAAGCAUGCCAGGCCCUUUACAGUGCAAAGGGAAAGGACCCUGAGAUAUUCACAGUAUAAUCAAUCCUUGUUUCUGAGGGGAAAGACCUGCUGCACCCUGCCUCCUGGUUACUGAGUAAGCUUUUCCUUUCUGAAGUGGAAAGAAGAAACGGCCAAAAAACUAACAAUGGCACAUUUUAGCAACUAUGGCACAUUUUAGCGUUAUGGGCAGGGCCUGGAAAUGGACAGGCGUGGGCUUAAAAGCUUGGAUGUCAUGUGUCGUGAUAGACUGAAUCACAUUUCCUCUUAAACCUGAGAUAUUCAUUAAAAGAAAUGGUUGUAGUGACAGACAGCUUCCACGCAGCUUGCGCUCCAGCUUUACGUGCCUUGUUGACCAGGUGCUGCACCCUGCCGAGCCCACGCGCUGGAAGUGAACCCAAAGAAAAGAGCUGUUGGACAAUAGCAACCCACUGGCUAACGCCUCCGAUAGCUGCAGGCCCAGGCACAACUAACUCCAAAAAAAACAGAUUGCAAAUGAAUCAAGAGGAAAAACAGGGCUACUCCAGUUAGCGACAGAGAAUCAAGUCCCUCAAUGAACGCACUGAGGAAGCAUUACAUGCCUGCUUCUUUCUCCUGACCACUUUUCUCUCCCCGUCAUUGCUUCAAUUAGUCCAGUGCAUCAAGUAUUUGACUGAAUCCCACCAUCUGCUAUAGCAAUCGCAUCAGGCAGGGCUCAGGCUAAACUCAUUCAGGCUCUUCCUACUGGCAGGAUCCUACCAAAAGUCGCCACUGACCACAGGCUCCUUUCGUUCUUAACAACUUCUGCAAACUCAGCGGAGGUUCAACAACUUCUUGUUUGACUUCCUGCCUCACACCAGGUACAGACCAAGCCACAAGUGACCCAGCCAGCAAAACAAAGCCUGGAACAGGGACCUCUCGCAGCUAAGAGCACAGCGAAACAGUACAAAUUAAACCAGAGAACAGUAUCUGCUGGACCGCCAAAGGCAAAGGCGCUGCAUGGCUGAGAGCAGGGCUUUCAGUAAUAGUUUCUCUUUCUACUGAGGGGGAGAACGGUCUCUCUCAAGUGUGUCCAGGGUUGCAUUAUUGAGCUACUAUAAAGUACCGAACCAGGAGGUCUACCAGCCCGGGUCUUGGCUGGAGGCUUGCAGAGGGCACGGGGAUUUUUUUUUUCCACUUUCCACACAGAGCAGUAAAAUACUUUUACUUCCGACUUUCCCUCCCAUCCGUUUCUUACUUCCUCGAUAAGAGACGCAACCUUUAAUUUCAGUUCCAUGAUAUUUCGCCAAGGAACUGGGACGACUCGUGGUAAAAACGAGCUGUGGCAUGAAGCAAAGCCCUCUGUUUCCCUCGGGUGCACGGCUCUCAUAGAAGAGCAACGGUGUCUCGUCCCUGGCAGCCCUGCCCCACGUUUCGAUGGGCCAACUGAAAUAUGUGGUUCAUUCCUGAUCACCAGGCCCAGCAAACCUGUUUAAAGAAACCACUCAAAGAAUCGGCGCUCAGAACAAUUACCUAUCGGAGGUGGGUCUUCAGCUCCAAGGUGCUAUAAAACUGCAGUGGAAAAUGUGGGGCUAUUUUUAAAGUGUUGCCUAAGGUGGCUUUUAGUGCCGAGAUCACAAUGCGUGUUCUAUUUUAAUGAGCAAAAACAAGCCCAGAAGCAGAAUCACUGGAAACCAUGAUGUGCUGCUACCCACAAUUACAUUCAGAUUGGCUGUCACUUAAAAUGUGCCCUAGCUGGGAUUCAUGCGCCUGGGAAGAAAGUUUCUUAUAUCAAAGAAAGCUGAAGGAGGUUGUCGUCCCCCAUCUCCCCCCAACCCCUGGUGAAUUUGUAUCAGUGAAUCAUCUGUCCGCUGUCUUACGAAGUGGAUAAAAGACGUUUACAAUGAGAAAAUGAAACAUAGGACUGGAGGGAAAUAGUCACUAAAGUCAUCCAAAGAAUAAACUUUCUCACCCAGAAGUGGCUACAGUUCGAUACCAAAGGCAUCAGGCUGUUGUUUUGUAAAAUAGCCGUGUUGAGAUCUUACGAGAUAUAAGGUCAGAGUUGUCCUCAGCACCUGAGCUCCGUGGAAGAGCUUUGAAUUGCCCAGCAUGGAGAUAGCUUCUGGUCAUUAAACUGCAUUGUUGACUAAUACAUGGUAAAACUCCACUGAUCUUCCAUAGCGUGUGUGUGUCUAGCAACAUAAAUGCUAAAAAGUCCAGUAGAACAAUUACAUACCUUCACACAUACCUAUAAAACUUCAUAAAUACAUAUUCAAGGUGAGAUGUGUAGAUGUACAAUGUUAACUAUGUUAUAGGUCAUAUAAUUGCAUGGUAUUACUAUAAGGAAAUGAAUGAUCAUUUUUGAAUUAUUAUAAUACAUGACACGUGCAAUAUAAAUACAUGUGUAGCGUGAUAUCUGCCAGCA